UCACACGGUACAGGGCAACGGCGCCACAAGCCGCGGACGCCACGGUGACAGUUGAAUCCGCACCUCUCCGAAAAAGUUUCAACAAAAAAAAAAACCUUCGUGAAGGAGAAGUUAUUGCAGGACUUUUGGGUUUUACUGCAUUAGUUUUAUCCGGGACAGGGCCAGUUUGCCUGCAACCUACCUGAAGCGACGAGGACGGGUGGGAGAACUUUUUUCUGAAUCUUCAGCAGCUUUUUCUCAUAUUUCGUCUGGAUCAUUCACCGAUCUACAUUGCCCACGAUGGCAGCUUAGUGAGAGGCUCGAGAGAGGCCAUCUACUGCUGCUCAUGGAUUCAGAUUCACGGUUUUAAUGGGCAGGAAUGACGGUCGUUGACGCCAAAAUGCUGCUCGACCUGACCUUCCUGCUACUUACAGGACCUAUCUACAGCGGGGUAAUAUUGCAGUAUAUACUUGUAGACUUUGGACUGUGUAUUACUGGUAGCAUCCUACUGCCGCUCAGUGACCUGACGGGCAUCCUGAUCAUGUCUGAUGAAAAGAAGACGAGCAGAAACAUUUACUUUGUUAGUAUUCAUAAUAGUUUGUAUACACAAUGUAU